rnacentral:rRNA from 1 species
GCCAGACUCCUACGGGAGGCAGCAGUGGGGGAUAUUGCACAAUGGGGGGAACCCUGAUGCAGCGACGCCGCGUGGGUGAAGAAGCGCCUCGGCGCGUAAAGCCCUGUCAGCAGGGAAGAAAAUGACGGUACCUGAGGAAGAAGCCCCGGCUAACUACGUGCCAGCAGCCGCGGUAAUACGUAGGGGGCAAGCGUUAUCCGGAUUCACUGGGUGUAAAGGGAGCGUAGACGGCCAUGCAAGCCAGGGGUGAAAGCCCGGGGCCCAACCCCGGGACUGCCCUUGGAACUGCAUGGCUGGAGUGCGGGAGGGGCAGGCGGAAUUCCUGGUGUGGCGGUGAAAUGCGUAGAUAUCAGGAGGAACACCGGCGGCGAAGGCGGCCUGCUGGACUGCGACUGACGUUGAGGCUCGAAAGUGUGGGGAGCAAACAGGAUUAGAUACCCGCGUAA